rnacentral:rRNA from 1 species
CAGUCGAGCGGUAGCACAGAGGAGCUUGCUCCUUGGGUGACGAGCGGCGGACGGGUGAGUAAUGUCUGGGAAACUGCCUGAUGGAGGGGGAUAACUACUGGAAACGGUAGCUAAUACCGCAUAACCUCGCAAGAGCAAAGAGGGGGACCUUAGGGCCUCUCGCCAUCAGAUGUGCCCAGAUGGGAUUAGCUAGUAGGUGAGGUAAUGGCUCACCUAGGCGACGAUCCCUAGCUGGUCUGAGAGGAUGACCAGCCACACUGGAACUGAGACACGGUCCAGACUCCUACGGGAGGCAGCAGUGGGGAAUAUUGCACAAUGGGCGCAAGCCUGAUGCAGCCAUGCCGCGUGUGUGAAGAAGGCCUUCGGGUUGUAAAGCACUUUCAGCGAGGAGGAAGGCGGUAAGGUUAAUAACCUUAUCGAUUGACGUUACUCGCAGAAGAAGCACCGGCUAACUCCGUGCCAGCAGCCGCGGUAAUACGGAGGGUGCAAGCGUUAAUCGGAAUGACUGGGCGUAAAGCGCACGCAGGCGGUCUGUUAAGUUGGAUGUGAAAUCCCCGGGCUUAACCUGGGAACUGCAUUCAAAACUGACAGGCUAGAGUCUUGUAGAGGGGGGUAGAAUUCCAGGUGUAGCGGUGAAAUGCGUAGAG